rnacentral:lncRNA from 1 species
CGUGCAUGCAAACACAGGAGUGUGCACACAAACACACACGUGCGUGCAUGCAAACACAGGAGUGUGCACACAAACACACACGUGCGUGCAUGCAAACACAGGAGUGUGCACACAAACACACACGUGCGUGCAUGCAAACACAGGAGUGUGCACACAAACACACACGUGCGUGCAAACACAGGAGUGUGCACACAAACACACACGUGCGUGCAUGCAAACACAGGAGAGUGUGCACACAAACACACACGUGCGUGCAUGCAAACACAGGAGUGUGCACACAAACACACAGUGCAUGCAUGCAAACACAUAUGCGUGCACACAAACACACACGUGCGUGCAUGCAAACACAGGAGUGUGCACACAAACACACACGUGCGUGCAUGCAAACACAGGAGUGUGCACACACAAACACACACGUGCGUGCAUGCAAACACAGGAGUGUGCACACACAAACACACACGUGCGUGCAUGCAAACACAGGAGUGUGCACACAAACACACACGUGCGUGCAUGCAAACACAGGAGAGUGUGCACACAAACACACCGUGCGUGCAUGCAACACAAAACACACACAUGCACACACACACACACAUAUGCACACACCGCUUGGUUACAGAAAACCUAUUUUCAGAGACCAGAAGACCCCAAGUGUCACCUGCCACGUGCAGAAACACUCAGUGGGGAUUUCACACCAUGGUUGACCCCACAAAUUCUUCCCAGGGGCAG